GGAGAAGUACUCAAGUGGCCGAAGAGGCGCCCCUGCUAAGGGCGUAGGCCGGGAAACCGGCGCCGGGGUUCAAAUCCCCGCUUCUCCGCCA
rnacentral:tRNA from 1 species